CGCCGAAACAGAUCCAGAGAGAGGUGAGGGGGAGGGGCUGCUAAUGAGCGAGAGCUCGGUGGAGGAGACGGGGAGAGGAACCGCUCACGCGAGGAGAAGAGGUCGACGACGAGGGGAAGAGGUCGACAACGAGGGGAACCGCCCGGGGGAGAGGAGCAGCUCGACGAGGAGGGGAACGCUUCCUCGCAUGGUACAGCCGCAAGGGUGGAAAUAAUAUGGCACAUGAUUGGGAAACAAAAUUGAGACUAUUUGUUGAGCAGUGGAGAACAACAAGGCUGCACACGAGGCUUGCCUACGGUGGUACCGGCCACAGACGAGAUUGUGCUACAUACCAAGAGCUGACCCUGAGGACAUGGAGACGGCUCACACUUCGGCUUCGGAGACGCACUACAGUUCUUCAGUGACUAGCGUCAUAGAUCACUCGGCCCAGUUGACGCUGGAGGCUCAAGAAGAGACUGUCGCGAUAAUUAACCGACUGACCAUGGGGACCGAGAUGACUCCAUCCAAGAAUCUAGCAGCGUGGCAGCAUACUGAGAGCAAGUUGCGGAGGAUCUUUGCGACUUUGAGGCAUAGGUGCGCAUCAGAGAUCAGACACCCCGCCUAGUCACGAAGCACACACUCCCCCAUGCCCCUCGCACCGCGCUAGGCCAACGUUCCAGCCGACUCAGAUGGCGUGGCGGCAGCCAACUGUCCGGCUGCUGCCUGCACCUUCCCCUACGCAGUCCGGUGGCUCCUCAUGGUACCACCAGCCUCACCCUCCCCCUGCACAGCUCUCAGUGAUAAUGACAACAGGUUCACCAGAUACUCGACCACCGCCGGCCACACAGGUCAUUCUGGCCAUGCCACCUCCGGCGCAAUCCCAUACCUGCAAGAGACAUCACCAUCCUACUUGUAGUCAUAGAGGUGCUGCGCAGGGUCGUGGACAGGGGGG